CGGAGCGUAGCGCAGCCUGGUAGCGCAUCUGCUUUGGGAGCAGGAGGUCGCGAGUUCGAAUCCCGCCGCUCCGACCA
rnacentral:tRNA from 1 species